rnacentral:snRNA from 1 species
GUUAGUUCGCUAAACAUAAUACUAAAUUGGACGACUACAGAGAAGAUUAGCCAUGCCUUGCGCAAGGAUGACAUGCCAUCGUGGACGUUCUCAUUUUG